ACGCAAUAGAUACCCGGGUAGUCCUGGCUGUAAACGAUGAGCAUUAGCUGGGAGGGACGUAUGUCCUUCCCAAACGGAGCGAAAAAAGUGUUAAGUGCUCCGCCUGGGGAGUAUAGUCGCAAGGCUGAAACUCAAAGGAAUUGACGGGGGCUCACACAAGCGGUGGAGCAUGUGGCUCAAUUCGAGGCAACGCGAAGAACCUUAUCCUGGGCUUGACAUGGUCGGAUUAGUUCCGUGAAAGCGGAAUGACACCUUCGGUGGAACGAUCACAGGUGCUGCAUGGCUGUCGUCAGCUCGUGUCGUGAGAUGUCGGGUUUAGU
rnacentral:rRNA from 1 species